CACGUAGGGGGCGAGCGUUGUCCGGAAUCAUUGGGCGUAAAGAGCUCGUAGGCGGCUCAGUAAGUCGGGUGUGAAACCCCCAGGCUCAACCUGGGGACGCCACUCGAUACUGCUGUGGCUAGAGUCCAGUAGAGGAGUGUGGAAUUCCCGGUGUAGCGGUGAAAUGCGCAGAUAUCUUGAGGAACACCGGUGGCGAAGGCGGGUCUCUGGGCCGAUACUGACGCUGAGGAGCGAAAGCGUGGGGAGCGAACAGG
rnacentral:rRNA from 1 species